rnacentral:rRNA from 1 species
ACGGAGGGUGCAAGCGUUAAUCGGAAUUACUGGGCGUAAAGCGCACGCAGGCGGUUUGUUAAGUCAGAUGUGAAAUCCCCGGGCUCAACCUGGGAACUGCAACUGAUACUGGCAAGCUUGAGUCUCGUAGAGGGGGGUAGAAUUCCAGGUCUCCCGGUGCCGUGCUUUCCGCUCUCUCUUAUUUCCUCUUUCUUUCUCUCCCCCCUUUUCUCCCUUUUUUUUUUUUUUUCUUUUUCGUGGGGAGCAAACAU